UACGUAGGGUCCGAGCGUUGUCCGGAAUUACUGGGCGUAAAGGGCUCGUAGGCGGCCAACUAAGUCAGACGUGAAAUCCCUCGGCUUAACCGGGGAACUGCGUCUGAUACUGGAUGGCUUGAGUUGGGGAGAGGGAUGCGGAAUUCCGGGUGUAGCGGUGAAAUGCGUAGAGAUCAGGAGGAACACCCGUGGCGAAGGCGGCCCUCUGGCUCGACCCUGACGCUGAGAGGCGAAAGCGUGGGGAGCGAACGGG
rnacentral:rRNA from 1 species